rnacentral:rRNA from 1 species
AUUGAACGCUGGCGGCAUGCCUUACACAUGCAAGUCGAACGGCAGCACGGGUGCUUGCACCUGGUGGCGAGUGGCGAACGGGUGAGUAAUACAUCGGAACAUGUCCUGUAGUGGGGGAUAGCCCGGCGAAAGCCGGAUUAAUACCGCAUACGAUCUACGGAUGAAAGCGGGGGACCUUCGGGCCUCGCGCUAUAGGGUUGGCCGAUGGCUGAUUAGCUAGUUGGUGGGGUAAAGGCCUACCAAGGCGACGAUCAGUAGCUGGUCUGAGAGGACGACCAGCCACACUGGUACUGAGACACGGCCCAGACUCCUACGGGAGGCAGCAGUGGGGAAUUUUGGACAAUGGGCGAAAGCCUGAUCCAGCAAUGCCGCGUGUGUGAAGAAGGCCUUCGGGUUGUGAAGCACUUUUGUCCGGAAAGAAAUCCUUGGCCCUAAUACGGUCGGGGGAUGACGGUACCGGAAGAAUAAGCACCGGCUAACUACGUG